ensembl:ncRNA W01G7.6 ncRNA
UUGUAGAUGAACUGGUAGUCCACACGAUCUUGAUAGACUCUCGAGUCGAUGUAGUCGAGGAUCUUGUUGAGUUCA